rnacentral:lncRNA from 10 species
AUGGUCUACUUGUGUAACACAUUCAGUAUAAUUCUGUGACAUGGUCUUGGCUAGCAAAUGUUUGCUUUCCUUCCAGCCCUUAAUUUUAGGUUUCUUUUUUUUCUAGUCAGGCCUUGAAAAGAGGAUAGACCAGGCUGUGGAGGAGUGGAAUAUUGAGAAGGCUGAGGAACUCAGCAACCAGCUAGCUACUCGAGAGCUUGGUGUAAAAAUUGCCAAAGCAGUUGCCUGCCACAACUUUGUAAAAGCCAAAAAGGAGGUUGAAAAUUCACAGGCUGCCCGAAAAAAGAAGAAACUUGCAUGGGGGUUUGAAGCAAAGAAGAGAUGGGAAACCAAAAGCAACAUGGGAUACAUGUAACUUGCCAGAGUGCUUCAAGACAUUUGUAGACUCAAAUGCUCAAUUUACUGAGAAUGUUUUCCUGCCUAUGUUAAUAUGUCAGAAAAUUGAUAGCACUAAAACAAAAAUAAGCAUAAAAUUUGGGAUUUUGAUUAUCAGCUCUUUUCAGUCUUUCUUUAAGGACUUUGUCCUAUUGAAGUGAAUAAAAUGAAGCAUUCUGUUAUUUGUAUAAGAAAUGUAAG